rnacentral:rRNA from 1 species
GUGGGGAAUAUUGGACAAUGGGCGAAAGCCUGAUCCAGCCAUGCCGCGUGUGUGAAGAAGGUCUUCGGAUUGUAAAGCACUUUAAGUUGGGAGGAAGGGCAGUAAGUUAAUACCUUGCUGUUUGACGUUACCGACAGAAUAAGCACCGGCUAACUUCGUGCCAGCAGCCGCGGUAAUACGAAGGGUGCAAGCGUUAAUCGGAAUUAAUGGGCGUAAAGCGCGCGUAGGUGGUUUUGUAAGUUGGAGGUGAAAUCCCCGGGCUCAACCUGGGAACUGCCUCCAAAACUGCAUGACUAGAGUACGGUAGAGGGUAGUGGAAUUUCCUGUGUAGCGGUGAAAUGCGUAGAUAUAAGAAGGAACACCAGUGGCGAAGGCGACCACCUGGACUGAUACUGACACUGAGGUGCGAAAGCGUGGGGAGCAAACAGGAUUAGAAACCCUUGUAGUCC